GACGAACGCUGGCGGCGUGCCUAAUACAUGCAAGUCGAACGCACAGUUUAUACCGUAGCUUGCUCCACCAUAGACUGUGAGUUGCGAACGGGUGAGUAACGCGUAGGUAACCUGCCUGGUAGCGGGGGAUAACUAUUGGAAACGAUGGCUAAUACCGCAUAAUAUUAAUUAUUGCAUGAUAAUUAAUUGAAAGGUGCAAUUGCACCACUACCAGAUGGACCUGCGUUGUAUUAGCUAGUAGGUGAGGUAACGGCUCACCUAGGCGACGAUACAUAGCCGACCUGAGAGGGUGAUCGGCCACACUGGGACUGAGACACGGCCCAGACUCCUACGGGAGGCAGCAGUAGGGAAUCUUCGGCAAUGGACGAAAGUCUGACCGAGCAACGCCGCGUGAGUGAAGAAGGGUUUCGGAUCGUAAAGCUCUGUUGUAAGAGAAGAACGGGUGUGAGAGUGGAAAGUUCACACUGUGACGGUAGCUUACCAGAAAGGGACGGCUAACUACGUG
rnacentral:rRNA from 1 species